GUUCACGUAGGUCUGUAAAUAAAAAAGGCAAAAGAUACCAAAAUGCACACUAUGUUAUAUUCAACUUACAAAGCCAAUCUCUUGAACUCUUCCUUAACUCUAAUUACUAGGUCUCUCAUUUUUGCAGGCAGCAAAAUCUAAAACAUUAUGAUAUGCUAAUUUCCCCUUGAAUGUUUAUAUGUAUAUUUUUCAAUAAGGUGCAAAUUUUUAUGUAAUACAAUAGAAAUAUGGGUUAUAGUUUGUGUUAUAACAAACUCUGUUAUAGUUUCAGAGCUUGAUAUUAUAUGGACAAAUAAUGUUUUGCAUUUGUAAAGGGUAUGUCUUAUGUCAUUUGGUGUAAUCAGCAUUUUCUUAGUAAUCAUUAAACUAUGUAUUAAAAUACUUUACUUACCAUAUAUGCACACCAUCAGUGGUGAAACAAAUAAACAGAGGACCAGAUGCAAGAAUUGUUUUUGACUAUUAUCUUGUGUGAGUAAAAAAAGGACAGUAAAACUCUUCUAACAUAAGUGUUAUCAAUCACAAUCCUUUUAUCAAACUUUUAAUGCAACAACUGAAAGUAUAGUAAAUUCAACACCUCAAAGUACCUGAAAAAAUACUUUUUUUU